rnacentral:misc_RNA from 1 species
GAUGAAGAACGCAGCAAAAUGCGAUAAGUAAUGUGAAUUGCAGAAUUCAGUGAAUCAUCGAAUCUUUGAACGCACAUUGCGCCCGCUGGUAUUCCGGCGGGCAUGCCUGUUCGAGCGUCAUUUCAACCCUCAGGCCCCCGGGUUUGGUGUUGGGGAUCGGCUCUGCCCUUCUGGGCGGUGCCGCCCCCGAAAUACAUUGGCGGUCUCGCUGCAGCCUCCAUUGCGUAGUAGCUAACACCUCGCAACUGGAACGCGGCGCGGCCAUGCCGUAAAACCCCAACUUCUGAAUGUUGACCUCGGAUCAGGUAGGAAUACCCGCUGAACUUAAGCAUAUCAAUAAGCGGAGGA